rnacentral:sRNA from 1 species
GGAAUUGUCAUGGUUUCCUGAUACAUUACCUGGAAUCGGAAGAAUUGGUUUUAUACCCUGGAAUGUUGAAACAGAAGUCCUUCCUCUCAUUUCUUCUAUGUUGCCAAGAACUAUUUUUCCAACAAGUACCAUAUCUUUAGAACAUUUUGGUAAAGUUUGUGAAAUCAUUUUCUAUUUUAAAAAUUAUUAUUAUUAGUUUCUUCCAGUUUCAUAAAAAUGUGUGUUUGAUGACUUAGAAAAGCUGUAAAGUAAGGCAUAGUAACUUGUAAAUACGUCUAUAAAUAUUUGGACAAUGACUUAACUUUAGAAUUGCUUCAACUAGAGUGUAUGUAUAUACAUAUAUAGAUAUAUAGUCUCUCUAUAUCUAUAUAUAUAUAUCUAUAUAGAUAUAUAGUCUAUAUAGUCUAUAUAGAUAUAUAGUCUCUCCAUAUGUCUAUAUACACACACAAUCGAAUAUUAUUCUGCCACAAAAAGAAGGAAAUCUUGUUGUUUGUACCAACAUGGAUGAACCUGGAGGACAUUAGGCUAAGUGAAUAAGGCAGGCACAGAAAGACAAAUAACCACAUGAUCUCACUUAUAUGUGGAAUCUUAAAAAGUUGAUCUCAUAGAACUAGACUGUAGAUUAGGGGGUGGGGUAGUGGUGGUGGGGUGGAGGUUGUUGGUCAAAGGAUACAGUUUCAGCUGGAUAGAAUAAGUUCUAAAGAUCUAUUGUGAAACGUGAUGACUAUAAUAAUACAGUUGACCCUUGAACAAAGGUUUUAACUGGGUGC